rnacentral:rRNA from 1 species
UAUCCGCCCGGGAACUACGAGCACCAGCUUAAAACCCAAAGGACUUGGCGGUGCUUUAGAUCCUACUAGAGGAGCCUGUUCUAGAACCGAUAACCCCCGUUCAACCUCACCUUUCCUUGUUUUUCCCGCCUAUAUACCGCCGUCGUCAGCCCACCCUAUGAAGGUUUAAAAGUAGGCUUAAUUGGCAUAGCCAGCACGUCAGGCCGAGGUGUAGCGUAUGGAAAGGGAAGAAAUGGGCUACAUUCCCUAAUUUAGGGCACACGAAUGGUGUGCUGAAACGCACAUCUUGAAGGAGGAUUUAGCAGUAAGUAGGAAAUAGAGCGUCCUGCUGAAAUUGGCUC